rnacentral:rRNA from 1 species
GAUGAACGCUGGCGGCGUGCCUAAUACAUGCAAGUCGAGCGAAUGGAUUAUGAGCUUGCUCUUAUGAAGUUAGCGGCGGACGGGUGAGUAACACGUGGGUAACCUGCCCAUAAGACUGGAUAACUCCGGGAAACCGGGGCUAAUACCGGAUAACAUUUUGAACCGCAUGGUUCGAAAUUGAAAGGCGGCUUCGGCUGUCACUUAUGGAUGGACCCGCGUCGCAUUAGCUAGUUGGUGAGGUAACGGCGCGCCAAGGCAACGAUGCGUAGCCGACCUAAGAGGGUGAUCGGCCACACUGGGACUGAGACACGGCCCAGACUCCUACGGGAGGCAGCAGUAGGGAAUCUUCCGCAAUGGACGAAAGUCUGACGGAGCAACGCCGCGUGAGUGAUGAAGGCUUUCGGGUCGUAAAACUCUGUUGUUAGGGAAGAACAAGUGCUAGUUGAAUAAGCUGGCACCUUGACGGUACCUAACCAGAAAGCCACGGCUAACUACGUGCCAGCAGCCGCAGUAA